rnacentral:misc_RNA from 1 species
GAUGAAGAACGUAGCGAAAUGCGAUAAGUAAUGCGAAUUGCAGAAUUCAGUGAAUCAUCGAAUCUUUGAACGCACAUUGCGCCCGCCAGUAUUCUGGCGGGCAUGCCUGUCUGAGCAUCGUUUCGACCCUCGCGCCCGGCUUCUGUCGGGGGCGGUGUUGGGGAUCGGCCACACCCUUCAGUGGGAGGCCGGCCCCUAAAUUCAGUGGCGACCACGCUGUAGCCUCCCCUGCGUAGUACUAAAACCACCUCGCAGGCGGAGAGCGGUGCGGCCCGCCGUAAAACCCCCCAACUUUUACAAGGUCGACCUCAGAUCAGGUAGGAAUACCCGCUGAACUUAAGCAUAUCAAUAAGCGGAGGA